rfam:Homo sapiens chromosome 7, GRCh38 reference primary assembly.
GCCGGGCGUGGUGGCUCACGCCUGUAAUCCCAGCACUUUGGGAGGCCAAGGCGGGCGGAUUGCCUGAGGUCAGGAGUUCGAGACCAGCCUGGCCAACAUGGCGAAACCCCGUCUCUA